AUUGAACGCUGGCGGCAUGCUUUACACAUGCAAGUCGAACGGUAACAGGCCUUCGGGUGCUGACGAGUGGCGAACGGGGGAGUAAUGCAUCGGAACGUACCCAGAGGUGGGGGAUAACGCAGCGAAAGCUGUGCUAAUACCGCAUGUGAUCUGAGGAUGAAAGCGGGGGACCGAGCAGCAAUGUUUGGCCUCGCGCCUUUGGAGCGGCCGAUGUCGGAUUAGCUAGUUGGUGGGGUAAAGGCCUACCAAGGCGACGAUCCGUAGCUGGUCUGAGAGGACGAUCAGCCACACUGGGACUGAGACACGGCCCAGACUCCUACGGGAGGCAGCAGUGGGGAAUUUUGGACAAUGGGCGCAAGCCUGAUCCAGCAAUGCCGCGUGCGGGAAGAAGGCCUUCGGGUUGUAAACCGCUUUUGGCAGGAACGAAACGGUGUCCGCUAAUACCGGGCGCUAAUGACGGUACCUGCAGAAUAAGCACCGGCUAACUACGUG
rnacentral:rRNA from 1 species